CUUAACCACAAUGUCAAAAACUCAUAACAGAGAGAUACAUACUCAAACCAAAUACUAAUGCCUGUAUAAUAGAGAGAGAAUCGAGGGUGCACCAAUGCAGUGACACAGCUGUGGAAUUUUCAGAGAGAGAGAGAGUUUUUGAUUUUUGAAUGUAACCGUUAAUACAUACAUAGACGUACAUUUUAUGCCAGUAUAAUAUUCUAGAGAGAGAGAGAGAGAGAGAGAGAGAGAGAGAGUUAUGCCAGUAUAAUAUUCUAGAGAGAGAGAGAGAGAGAGAGAGAGAGAGAGAAUAAUAUUGACUAGUGAGACAGGUCUGACAUACAUUUUCUUCCUUCAGAGAGUAAAGGGAAAGCGUUUUGAUUUUUGAAUGUAACAGAGUGUUCUCUCUUUCUAACCAUUGUCUCGUUGUGUUAAAGCUCGAACACUUUCCAAUGGUAAGCUAUUUUGAAAUUUUUGAAAAUCACUAGUCUACUCCAGAUUCUUCUCUGUUCUAUUUACUGGGAUACGUUUGUUACCCGGGGGUUUACAGCUCCACAAGUCAAAAUUCUGGGCUUGCAGUUUUCAGCAAGAUUUUUCGAAGCUCAAUUCUUCAAGUGAAGUGUAACCUAUGUUAGCAAAGAUUUUUAGAAGUUUAAAUCUUUAAAGUAACCCUUUUUAGUGGAAUUUUUUGAGCUUCAAGUCUAUAUUAGGUUGCUUUAUCGGAGAAAACAUGGUUUUACCUUCUUGUUUCUGAGUCUUUAAGGUUGGUUAUAAAUAAGAAUUUAUAUUGUUUCAUCUCAAAAAUUUUUGUGAUAGAAUUCCAAUAGAAGUCUUGUUUACUCAUUAAUAGAAUAUAGUUGUUUGUGAUUGUGAUUUUUUGCUUGCGCAAUGCUGAAGCACUAGUGGUGUGUAGUGCUGGCUGAUAAAGUUCAAUUUUUGAGUGCUUUGAAUGAUAGGCAAAAGACAAACAGAAGAGACUUGAGGCAUUUAUUUUUCUUUCUUUUGAUUUUUUGGGCAUUUUAUAUUUGGAAUAUUCUUUGUUGGGUUUUCGGUCCCACAUCAGAAAUUUGAAUACACUCCAUUUGUGUACAGCUGGAGAUGGAGACCCCAUCUUCUCUUCAAAGCAAAGUCUUUUUUCCCCUAAUACACUGUAUCCACAAGGAUGAAUGGAUGAUGAUCAAAUUGGAUUUUGAAUUUUUUUUUUUUUUUUUUUUUUUCAAAAAUGAGAUUUGUGGGCCAG
rnacentral:lncRNA from 1 species